AACGCAUCUUGCACUUUUCAGGUCUCCUGGGAAGUAUACUUGUUUGAGUAUCAUAAACAUCUCUCAAAGAUUAUCCUCUUGCUUCUUCUCCCUCUCUUGAGCGAGCGCGUGGCAAGAUGGCUAUCUGCGGAAGUGAGACUUCAGAGGCUUUUUUUAUAAGCCUUUGUGUCUUUUAAUGGAUACGCGGCGCGAUUUCCUCAUACCAUGUGAGGAAAAGCCCAAUUACCAAAUGUGAGAUAAAUAUCGCACAAAGAGGAAUUGGGAGAAAGCACUGCUACGCUCAGUGUCUUGACGGACACACCUUCCGAGUCUUUGAUCUCAAAUCAAGUAAGAUUACCCGCUGAACUUAA
rnacentral:misc_RNA from 1 species